GGAAGUAUUUGACCACUGAGCACCUUGGGGGUACGAUAGAGAAAAGCCCUUUUUAGGGAUGAGGAAUCGCAAAGCUCCAGGAUAUUCCAUAGUCUCAGCGUUGGUCAGCGCUGGGCAGGUGGGCUCCAGCUGCAGUCAGCGUGCUGGUGCAACAAGAGCUACCCAAUAUAACCGAAGAUCAGGGGAAAGAUACAGCUGAGUGAUCCACGAGAAGGGUAGAUGGACUUUCCACUCGGGAAGGAGAAGCAAAGACGUUGCUGUCUAGUGUAGCAUGAAGUCUCUCACCUGAUGGGACAGGACUGACCGUGGAAAGCUGCUCCAGGGGGAAGGGCCAGCGGACUGACUGCUCUAGUGGGACAACAGAAGAGAUGCUACUUCUCAGGGGAGUAAGAAGAAAACACAUGGCAGGGAAAUUCAAUAUUAAAACCAGGAAGGACUCUUGCCGCAAAGACUGUUGAGUAGCCUGAGCUCCGAGUGCUUGUAAUUCCUUGUAACAAGUUCAGUGAUCAGUGACACCACUUUGGCAGCUGUAGGUGGGCUGGGAAUUGCAUCAUGGUGCUAAUGACAGAGUAAUAAUGAAGUGUUUAACCUCAGACGUCCUUGAGUGUAUGGUGAAAUACCAGAGGAUGAAACUGCCUCCUGCUCUGUAUGGAGAAUAUUGUAUGCCACGUACUCUGGGCACAGCUAGAAACUGUAAAAUGGAAUAGCAAACUACCAGUUGGGAUAAUUCAACUUACUGGAUUUUACCUACAGUUUUCACAGUGCCUGACUUCUGAAGACAUGAUUUUUCAUGUUCAAUAUCUUAUAAACACAUAGUCAUUGCUGGGGGCACUUAGGAUCCUACAGAAAAUUAUGCAGUCACUUGGUACCAAGGAAUUUAUACUUAAUUUGGGAUGUGUCCCCUUAGUGUUUCAGCAUAGUAAAGCAGCUUGAAAGAAGCCAUGCGCAGAGAUGAUCUCUGGGAAGAGUGCUGUGUGCUAGUUCACCAACCGUGAGUGCCUAGGUCCGUGCCUUACAGCUCGGUGAACAUUGUGGACUACAUUCAUUGUUUGGCUCCCAUCUGGUUCACUUUCUCCCAAAAAAUCAUAAAUCACUGGAUCGAGGUUGUGUGUUCAACCAGCUAUACACAGUUGAUAGGUUUUGCAUUUGCAAAGGAAUUGGAAUAACAGAAACAUCUUUGUCUUAUCUGAACCCAAUUACCCAUAAAGAUGUGCCCACUGAUAUCAGACCUGGUUCAACAUUUCUAGCCUUCAGUGCGACAAAGAUAAUUUUCCAAAUAGAAGUUCAGAAUAAACCUCUGUUGUCUGCUAAAUUUGUAACA
rnacentral:lncRNA from 1 species